CGCUGCUUGACUGACACAGAGAUCCUGAAUAAGAGACUCUUUGGAUACUGAAAAGUCUUUUAAAGAAGGUGAUAUACAGAUUUCAGAGAACAAUUUCAACCUUGUUCUCUUGAAGGUUAUACUCAGUCCUGAACCACAUUACUUUCCUGUCUACGUUUCAUUUCCUGGGGGCUUGCCAAGUGAUAAACAGACCCAGGCGUGUGUGGUAGAUCUGGGUUUUUUUAGCACGAAGUGGGUGGCUGGGGUUUGCUUGAAAACAUCAAUUGACUUAGUGAUCAUUACGGAAAUGCUGGUGUAAGGUGUUCAGAAGACAAUGGAGAAAAAAUGGAAAUACUGUGCUGUCUAUUACAUCAUCCAGAUACAUUUCGUCAAGGGAGUUUGGGGAAAACCAUUCAACACACAAGAAAACAUUUAUGCUACACUUGGCUCUGAUGUCAACCUGACCUGCCAAACACAGACGAAAGGCUUCUUGGUGCAGAUGCAAUGGUCCAAGGUCACCGAUAAGGCAGACCUGAUUGCUCUUUAUCAUCCCCAAUACGGCUUCCACUGUGCCUAUGGGAGUCCCUGUGAGUCACUGGUGACCUUCACACAAACUCCUGAGAAUGGGUCAAAAUGGACUCUGCACUUAAGGAAUAUGUCUUCUUCCAUCAGUGGAAGGUACGAGUGUAUGCUUACUCUGUAUCCAGAGGGCAUGCAGACUAAAAUCUACAACCUUCUCAUUCAGACACACGUUACACCAGAUGAGUGGAAAAGCAGCCAUACAAUAGAAAUAGAGAUAAAUCAGACUCUGGAAAUACCAUGCUUUCAAAAUAGCUCCUCAGAAAUUUCAUCUGAGUUCACCUAUGCAUGGUUGGUGGUAAGUGUUGCCCUUUUCAGUGAAUAACUGCAAUCGUCUUUAAACAUUAAUGAAGUAAAAUGAAUAAGCAGUAAUAAUAGGGAAGGAAGCAUACAAAUGACAGGCAGGCAUUAUGCCAGUGGUGGGAGGAGGGGUAGGGAAGGAAGGAGAGGACACUCAUAUUCCUUCUCACAGGCAAGCCUCUGAGUCUAUGAAUGCAGUGAAUUCAUUUAUAAAUUUACUUCUAAAGAUUGAUUUUUAUUUCUAUCUACAUACCAAACCACGAUUACAGAAAGAACAAAGUGUGAUAGUGCCCUAGAAAGGAGCCAUAUUCAGCAGAAGCCCCUACUCACAAAUACUUGUUUCACAAGCAACAUAUGCAGAGCUACAGACUGCCUUUUCCAAAAACCCUUAUUACUGCAUCCUGGGAAAUAUCCAACAUUGGCUUAGAUUGGGAAGCACAGACUCUAAUGCUUGUGAAAUAUAAGCAGCAAAUGUAUAGGAGACAAGCAGGACUUGUGUAAGAAACAGUCACUGCCCAGCUCUAUUAAUGCCACAGGGGGCCACAGGUCUAUAGUUGCCAUGCCUUUUCAUUGAAAAAAAAAAAAAAAGCCAGAAAUCUGGAUUUUUAUGAAAAAUUUUCCAAUUUUAAAAAUGAUGUGUAGAGCAAAAAUAAAUACUGGUCUAUUAUUUUGCUAAGGCACUGUAAGAUAUAACCCUAGUUAUAAAUUUAAAAAAUUCCACUGAGUAUUCACUUUGGCAGUUAUGGUGGGCUGACUAUUAAGUUGCUUAACGUGUCCUGUGUGAUGACUAAACUCUCCCACUACUUUUCUCUCCUUGAAAUACUGCAGAAUUCAUCUAUACAGAUCUUCAUCUAAUUGGAUUUAUGAUUAUACAUUUGGCCUAUAUUAAAUAACUGCAUGCGUUUACCAAGCCCUCCUCUUUGUCUGCCUUUGUUAUUUUAUCAUUAGUCUACACUAUUCUGCCUAAUGCAUCAGUUAUUUUUAAAAUCUAAAUUUAAUCUUAAAAACUAAAAUUGUCUGAGCUCUUUGUCAUAACAGGUAAACCAAAUCAACAUGAGGAUAAUAGUAAAUAUGAAAGAAUUGUGUCAUUAUAACUUUAAUGUUAGUCAAUCAAAUGGCAGCCAGCUACUAACCAGUGUAUAGUGAAACUAAACUGUUAAAACAAUGACAAACAAAGCAGACAACACAAUAUUAU
rnacentral:lncRNA from 10 species